AAGGUCCUCAGUUGCAAAUAGCAUUCCUGAAUAAAUCCCAAUGUAUAUGUAAAUGUGAAGUGUCUGUGUUGUGGUUGGAUAUCUUGGAUAUAAGGGACAGAGCUCCCAUUCACCGGGGAGUUGGUCUGCUUAACAGAAGCUCCCACACAUCAACUGUGUGUCACACAACUUACUGGCUGUAUUUUCUACUACUGGACAUUUCAAUAAACUGAGGAAACAUAAGAAAACAGAGAUUGAGAGCCUUUAUUAUAACAAAUGGAUGAAGUGGGUGGCGAUCACGCUGUCUUUUCUGUCUUUUUUUGAUUUUUUUGAACCCCCAUUUUUGUCAAAAUGCUGGGGAUUAUCUGUCGUGUUAGACUUUGACCAGCACUGUAGUAAGGGAUCACAACAUUUUGCUGUAAAAAGUAUGUUUCAAAUGAUUGUCUGGAGGAUUUGUAUAUAUAUAUGUAAAUAUAUUUUAAGAUAUGUUUGGUGGUUUUUUUGUUUUUUUUUUGAUUAGAUUUUUUUCCCUUUAAAUCACCAUACUGUUUCCUGAUGGUUUUUUUUUGUUAAUUCAUAUCAGUUUAAAUUGACAAAAGCAGAAUUGGUUAAUUGGGUUCUAAAAUUGAUUAAGUAAACAUCUUUCUCAUG